rnacentral:tRNA from 1 species
GCGAGCGUGGUGCAGUUGGUUACCACAUCUGUCUAACAUGUGGCUGGUCCGAGAUCAGUACAAACAGUUGCGCACAGAAGACCCCCGGUUCGAGCCCGGGCGCUCGUA